rnacentral:rRNA from 1 species
GGCGAGUGAAGAGGGAUGAGCCCAGCACCGAAGCCUGCGGCAGUUUUGCUGUUAGGCAAUGUGGUGUUUGGGUCGACUGGCGGGAUCGUAACUUCACUCGAAGUCCAGCAUUGAGUAUGGUUAUCAUUGGAUUUGGCCCAUAGAGGGUGAGAGGCCCGUACGAGUGAAGGUGCAGACAUGUUAUACGAUUCACCAGGUCGGCCUUAGAGUCGGGUUGUUUGAGAUUGCAGCCCAAAGUGGGUGGUAAACUCCAUCCAAGGCUAAAUACAGACACGAGUCCGAUAGCGAACAAGUACCGUGAGGGAAAGUUGAAAAGUACUCUGAAGAGAGAGUAAACAGUACGUGAAACCGCAUGCAGGUAAACGGGUGGCGUCAAACCGCGAGCCCGAAGGAUUCAGCUGAUUGGGUUGUUAUUUGGCCAGAAUAAGAUUUAGUGGUCCUCUCUCUCAUUGUUAGAGUGGAGCAAGGUWUGAGGUGUAUAUGUGUGKGUAWGUGUAUGUGNUUUUUUGUGGUUAAAGUAUUACGCACUUGUGGUGUAGUGCUUGGCCAUUUGGCAUUUGCACUCGCGCAUACAAAUCCCUCUACCAAGCUAUACGUGCCGGGUGGGUGCCGGAGUAUGCCACUAGUCUGUAGGGCCGCCUAAUCAGUGCAAUUUCUUCGUGGUGAACAUCACGACCGAUGGAAUUGCCAGUCCAUUGUAGUCAAGUCGUGCUCAUGUGGCUGUUAGGGCGGGAGAUCUUUCUCUCUCCCUAAUGUGGUUAUGUGGGCGUGAUCGCAGGUGGAGUGAGUAAACGGCGUAGCGUUGCUUCGGCAUUGUUACGUGCUAUCGUGUACUUACCAUCAACGAGUUGUUGUGUAAUGAUGUGCUCUGUUUAUGCAACAAUUUGGCGGACUACAAUGGUGAAAAUGACUGUGCAAGGCAUCGGCUUUAUCCACCUCACACAUACAUGUAUGUGUAUGUGUAUGUAUCCGGCAGGCCUUCACAUGGGCCAAAUUUGGAGACUCAUUAUGGUGUAUAUGCAUUAUGCGUGAUUGUCGUUUUGCCUACAAAAAAGUAGGUGCGGCAGUGGUAUAGUGUAUACUCAUUUUAAUGUUGUCUCUAGUGCAUGCGAUACAGUGGGUGUAAUAGUCAGUGAUGCUGUGGUAGACGAGCUACCCGACCCGUCUCGAAACACGGACCAAGGAGUUUAACAUGUGUGCGAGUCAAAGGGCUUUACGAAACCCCAAGGCGUAGUGAAAGUAAAAUUUGUAUUUUUAAUACAAUGAGGUGAGAUCUUAGCUGUUUUUUGGUUUAGACCGGAUGGCAGUUAAGCGCAUCACCGGCCCGUCCCAUGAUGUGGCCAUUGACAUUGAUAUGUGUGUAUGCGCAUGCUUUAUGUGUAUAUACUAGUAUCAGUUAAUGCAUCAUCGGGGCGGAGCAUGAGCACACACGUUGAGACCCGAAAGAUGGUGAACUAUGCUUGCGUAGGUUGAAGCCAGAGGAAACUCUGGUGGAGGACCGUAGCGAUUCUGACGUGCAAAUCGAUCGUCAAACGUGAGUAUAGGGGCGAAAGACUAA